CUACGGGAGGCAGCAGUGGGGAAUAUUGCACAAUGGGCGAAAGCCUGAUGCAGCAACGCCGCGUGCGGGAUGAAGGCCCUAGGGUUGUAAACCGCUUUCAGCAGGGAAGAAAAUGACGGUACCCGUAGAAGAAGGUGCGGCCAACUACGUGCCAGCAGCCGCGGUGACACGUAGGCACCAAGCGUUGUCCGGAUUUAUUGGGCGUAAAGAGCUCGUAGGCGGUUCAGUAAGUCGGGUGUGAAAACUCUGGGCUCAACCCAGAGACGCCACCCGAUACUGCUGUGACUAGAGUGCGGUAGGGGAGCGGGGAAUUCCUAGUGUAGCGGUGAAAUGCGCAGAUAUUAGGAGGAACACCAGUGGCGAAGGCGCCGCUCUGGGCCGUAACUGACGCUGAGGAGCGAAAGCGUGGGUAGCAAACAGGAUUAGAUACCCUGGUAGUCCACGCCGUAAACGUUGGGCACUAGGUGUGGGUCUCAACCAACGAGAUCCGCGCCGUCGCUAACGCAUUAAGUGCCCCGCCUGGGGAGUACGGUCGCAAGGCUAAAACUCAAAGGAAUUGACGG
rnacentral:rRNA from 1 species